GACGGAGGGGGCUAGCGUUGUUCGGAAUUACUGGGCGUAAAGAGGGCGUAGGUGGUUUAGUAAGUUGGAAGUGAAAGCCCGGGGCUUAACCUCGGAAUAGCUUUCAAAACUACUAAUCUAGAGUAUAGUAGGGGAUGAUGGAAUUCCUAGUGUAUAGGUGAAAUUCUUAGAUAUUAGGAGGAACACCGGUGGCGAAGGCGGUCAUCUGGGCUACAACUGACACUGAUGCACGAAAGCGUGGGGAGCAAACAGG
rnacentral:rRNA from 1 species